rnacentral:misc_RNA from 1 species
UGGUUCUGGCAUCGAUGAAGAACGCAGCGAAAUGCGAUAAGUAAUGUGAAUUGCAGAAUUCAGUGAAUCAUCGAAUCUUUGAACGCACAUUGCGCCCCUUGGUAUUCCGAAGGGCAUGCCUGUUCGAGCGUCAUUACAACUCUCAAGCAAUGCUUGGUAUUGAGCCUAGCUGUCACUGGCUGGCUUUAAAAUUAGUGGCAGUGCUCUCUAGCUCUCUGCGUAGUAAUUUUUCUCGCUACAGAGUUUGACAGUGUCUCUCCAUUAAAGUCUUAUUUCUAUGGUUGACCUCGGAUCAGGUAGGGAUACCCGCUGA